AAUUAUUUUGAAUUUCAGUUUAUUUGCUUUAUUUAUUUCAAGUUUUAAAUCAUGUGGGGAAUGUUGGAUUUUAUUGGGUUAUUGGAUGUUUUGUGAUUUAAAACUUGUUAAGAUUUUAUUUUGUCGGUUUUAUCUUUAUUUAAUCCUUAUCUUUAUCUUUUUCUAAUCCUAAUCUUUCUCCGUAUAAUCUUAGGCUUAUCUUGUU
rnacentral:lncRNA from 1 species